GAUGAACGCUGGCGGCGUGCCUAACACAUGCAAGUCGAGCGAAGCGCUCGGGAGGAAGUUUUCGGAUGGAAUCCUGAAUGACUGAGCGGCGACGGGUGAGUAACGCGUGGGUAACCUGCCUCAUACAGGGGGAUAACAGUUGGAAACGGCUGCUAAUACCGCAUAAGCGCACAGUACCGCAUGGUACGGUGUGAAAAACUCCGGUGGUAUGAGAUGGACCCGCGUCUGAUUAGCUAGUUGGUGGGGUAACAGCCCACCAAACCGACGAUGGAUAGGGGUUCUGAGAGGAAGGUCCCCCACAUUGGUACUGAGACACGGACCAA
rnacentral:rRNA from 1 species